rnacentral:rRNA from 1 species
AUGGGUGCCCGGGCUAUAACGGCUAACUAUAUUAAUGCAUACUUUCCAAAGGCAACUAGUAAAACACGGGGUUGGAGCAGACCGCCUAUGGGUUUUGUUAAACUUAAUGUUGACGCCUCUUUUGACCAUGAUUUACUUAGGGGCACAGUUGGGGCUAGUCUCAUAGAUGAUAAUGGAAGAUUCAUCAUUGGUGGAAACUGGAGGAUUGAUUGGUGUGCUGGUGUAUUAACAGCAGAAGCAUUGGCUCUAAGGUUUGGCCUAUUCCUAGCACAAAAGGCGGGGUGCAAUCGUCUUGUUGUUAACUCUGACAAUAUGGUGGUGAUUGAAAUAAUGAAGAACGGGGGACAUUCGGCUCGGCGGGACCGGCGGCAAUAG